AUUGAACGCUGGCGGCAGGCCUAACACAUGCAAGUCGAACGAGUGGCGGACGGGUGAGUAAUGUCUGUGAAACUGCCCGAUGGAGGGGGAUAACUACUGGAAACGGUAGCUAAUACCGCAUACCAUCGGAUGUGCCCAGAGGGGAUUGGCUUGUAGGUGAGGUAACUGCUCACCUAGGCGACGAGCCCUAUCCGGUCUGAGAGGAUGACCAGCCAAAUGGUAACUGAGACACGGUCCAGACUCCGAGGUGAGGCGGCAGUGGGGAAUAUUGCACAAUGGGCGCAAGCAUGAUGGAGCAAUGCCGGGGGUAUGAAGAAGGCUUUCGGGUUGUAAAGUACUUUCAGCGGCGAGGCGUUACCCUCAGAAGAAGCACCGGCUAACUCCGUGCCAGCAGCCGCGGUAAUUC
rnacentral:rRNA from 1 species